GGGGGGACCAGGAGACUAAGCAGAUUCUGGUGUACAUUCAGUCUGCUAGAUCUCAACCUAUCUUGGCUAAGUGGGAGGCGUGUAAAUUCAACCACUAGACUAUUGAUAGAGUAAAUAGACUAAAUGAGUCCUGUUGUACAUUCCGCUCAUUAGUUCGCUAUAUGUGGUGCUUGGGCAGCGUAGACUAACCGAACCUUGGUGUAAAUAGUUCGAUAGUUCUCAAGG